GUCACUUCUUAGCCUUUUGGCUAAGAUCAAGUGUAGUACAAAAAUGAAUACAGUCAUGUUUGAGCACCUCUUGUAAUUGCAGAAGUCACAUGUGACUGUUACAUAUGUAAGUUUUUUCUGUUUUUAAAAUGUGUGUACAUUUU
rnacentral:snRNA from 1 species